ensembl:lncRNA
CUUGGCUUGCCCUUCUCUGCCCACUGAAAGCUGGCUCAAAAACCCACCUCCAAGAAGGCUUCAGCAUGCCUCUCUUAUUUGUGGCAGUCCAGCCACCGCUCUCAGUUGGCUCCCGGUUGUCUCUACCUCUUGUCCCUUUCUGUAGACGCUCUUUGAGUCUGCAGGACUCUGUUCUUUCCUGCACUUCCCAGUGGCCAGCAGAGGGCGCCUCCAAAAAGACUGAGGCACCAGGGAGGAAACGGGAGAAUCCGCUUCCCUGGAUCCAGGGACAGUCCGUUUAUGUGAAAUGAAACUGACCCAGGACGCCUUCCUUCCUGGGGCUCUAGACUUAACCUGUCAGCAGAGGACUAGAGGUUAGAUCACAGGCUGAACUCAGGUGACUGCCUUAGAAGUGAACCCAGGAUGAGGGAGCUGCCCCCUCCCAACAGCCGGAAUGGGGAAGGGGCAGUGGAGGUCGCCAGCUUUCCUCCCUUGACCCUGGGAGAUGGGUUGGGAGGGGCUGCACAGAAUAGCUGGUGUCCCACCCUCUAGGAGGGGCUGCUGUGGACAUCUGGGCAACAUCUGGAUUCCUGGCAGGACAGGGAACUUGUCUAUUUGAGAUCCUCCAGGGAUAUACCAUCCACCCCUUGGUGGCCCCUCAGCACUACAUUCCUGGGGAGCUCUUUACAAACAGGUGUAUAGGACCCAGCCCCGUAAUGUGGGUGAAUUCAUGCCAAUCUAGGAGGGUCCUGACAUACGUCCUUCGGAUGUGGCCUAGGGGCCUGGGCAGCAGCCUGCUCUUCUGGGCUAUUCCACCUUUCCGCCUCCUGCCCUCCUGUCGGAGUGCGCACGGUGAGAUGCUUGUCUUCCCUGUGUGGAAAUGCUGGGAAAUAGGAGGCUCUGGUGUCCAUCCUCUCCAUUCCCCUUCCUCCAGACCCUCAGAUCUCUUCGGGGUGACACAGCCGUCGCCCUCAGCCCCUCCUCCUCGGCCCUGCUAUAGGCACUGACAGUCUUCCAGGGGAGAGGACAGGGAGAACCCAAUGCCCACAGAGGGUUAAAUGACAGUACUUGGCCUGAGCCAGCCAUGCCAUCGGAGUCACCUGGCCGGGCUAGUUGGUGGCUUGCAGCAGAGCCUGAGUGCCAGGGAAUGGAGCUGCUCUGUGGGUUUGGCCCCAGGGAAUGGAGUCCAGGAUGAUGGGCUUCAGCCAGCCAGAUAGAAGACAUUCUCAUCAUUCGAUGGAAGGACACUUGGAGCUCUGCUAGGUGAAGGGGAGCAGCACCUUCCUCGGCUGCGGCGCCUGCUGGUUCACUUCCUCACUACAUCACUGCACCCAUUUUACAGACGAGGAAACAUCGGCCCGGAGAGGGACUUCACUUGGCCUAUAGCACGCAGUUCCUGGCCCUGAGCCCGUGUUGGUCAGACCCAAAAGCCACCAUUCCUGUGGGGUGGGAGGCUGAACAAUGUCCAGUCCCGUCCCUGCUCCUGCUGUGUUCUGUUGGGGAGUGGUGUGGCUCUUGACUCAGCCUGCCUGGGUUUGAAUCCUGACUCUGUCCCUACCACCUGUAUGGUAUGGGGUUGAACUCCAUGAGCCCCAGCUCGGUUCCAGCUCUGACAUUUCAAGAGCCUUCAUCAGGCUAAAAUAAGCAGUGAGAGGCACGCUGCGGUCAGGAAAGGGCAGCCUGGGACGUGCGUGCGUGGAAGCCGGAGGCUCUCGUGCUCUGCCAGCCCUGGCCCUGCACUGCUCAUGUCACAACCUGUGGGCACCUCCUCUGUACCAAGGGUGGAAUAGAGGCAGCCUGGCAGGGUCUGUUCUGAGUCUGGAUUCUCCUGCUGGCUGAUGCCCAGGGCUGCCUCCCCUAUGAACGUGACCAGGUCCUAUGUGCACAUCCUGGACAAUGUGCUGGCAGGAGGAAGAAGGCUGCUCCACAGGCACCCCACCACAGCCCUGUCCCACUGGAAGCAGCCUCCUACCCCCAGCACCUGACUUCCAAGCACAGGGAGCUGGUGCCAAGCACUGAGGAGGCUGGGUGGCCCUGAAGUGAUGACUUCUGGGGUGGGAAGUCUAUAAAGAAGGGGGCAUUUCUGUCUCAGGGAUCCUGUGGUUGCUCCCCUACUGGCAACAGCAGAAAUGGCACAGGAGGGGGCUCUGUGGCAUUCACCGUGUCUUCUCUCAGAGUCCAGAUGGGCACCUGGGAAAAUGCUAUUGAAUGAAUGGCCGUGUCCAUCCUCCCCUAGCGCCCCACAAUCACCAGCCUCCCUCCUCCACACUCUGUCCUUUACAGACUACAAGGACUGAGUUAUUCUUAGUAGGUUUCAUUCAUCAAAGUGUGACAAACGGUGUCCUGGGAGGAAUGCUUGGGCCGUGAGGAGAGCCAGGGGAGUGGGGUGGGGUGCAAAUGCCACAUGUGUGGGGAGAAUCUGAUGAUUUCAAGGAGCCCCAGUAUGAGGGGAGACACGGCCCGACCCUCAGGGAGCCCCAGUCUGAGGGGAGACACGGCCCCGUGUUCGGGGAGCCCCAGUCUGAGGGGAGACCCAGCCCUGUCCUCAGGGAGCCCCAGUCUGAGGGGAGACACGGCCCCGUGUUCGGGGAGCCCCAGUCUGAGGGGAGACACAGUCCUGUCCUCAGGGAGUCCCAGUCUGAGGGGAGACACUGCCCUGCCCUCAAGGAACCUCUAGUCUCAUGGCAGAAAUUAGCUGUCAUCCCUGCUGGAGAAGAUAUGGUGCCUACCCAAGGCACAGACUGAAACUCAAGACGUAAAAAGGAGGUACUAGAGGGGUUUCUAGAAGCGUGUUCAGCCACCACUGCCACCGCAUGGGGGGAGACAAAAAGGGGGGUCCCAGUGACACUCACCUCGCAGGCUUAUGGAGAAACACGCAAAGAUGACAAAGGGUGGCAAUAGUGCGGACUGAGAUCCUAGCAGCUGAGGAAAAGGGUGAAGGCACAGGCCAGCUGGGCUGGUCUAAAUCCCGUGUUUCACACUCAAAAGCCUCAGGGACCAGUCUGGCCACACUGGCCUUUCCCUACGGGGAGGCAGUCGGAAAGCCCACACUGUCUGCAGGAUCUCAUCUUCAAUACAAAGACCACAUCCUCCCACAGGCCGCUCCACACCUCACUAAAGAUUAACCCUGGCCCAAGGCCGCGAGCCUGCGACUCCCUGGACACCAGGGAAGAAUUCCCGACAGAGGAGAGGUUUGAGCCUGGUUGGAUAAAGAAGUAGACAGCCAAGUUGCUCCCCCUUAGUCUUGGCUGCCAGGCCUGGCUUUGUGUCUUCAGGGCCUCCUCCCACCCUUCCUGGGAUGGGAGACUGAAGCCACCCGUUGCCAGCUCCCUUGUGACGAACAGGCCACAGCUGGUCGGCUGCCAAGGGCUCCGGGUCUAUGAUGGGGGAUCACCUUUCUUUGCAGGAACGUAAUGCCCUCGCCAAGGGAAGGAGACGGUGGGGCGUCAUAGAGCCACCCUUAAAUGAGCUGAUCUGGAAGUUUGGCUUGGUGGCCUUCCCUGAGAGCCUUUACUGUUUUGUGCCUCAUACGCAAUAUGGGGAUACUGUUGCCCUGGUGCCCUACCCACUCCUCCCCCGGACAGUUAGCUUUCCAAUAGGCCUCAGUGUCCAUGUCAACGAAAUGGGUCCACCGUCCCUACUCUCCCAGUCCCUUCCAGCAGAGAUCUCCAGGACUGUAGGCUUACAGGGAGGGAGGGGCUGGUCCCCAAGUCCCGCACCUCCCCUCUCCCCACUCCAAGUGGGGGUCGCAGAACUCUCUCCUGGGACUGCGGGGCAGUCCCGGAGGGCAGCAGGGGGCGGCGGGCUGAGCGGAUGCGCGCUGUCCUGGGCACCAGGGACAGGUUCAGGGACCGGGGAGGGGCGGCCUAAUUACGGCAUGUUGGCCCAGCGCCGCAGAGCGCCGCGAACGAGAGCGGCAGUGGGUAAUUAGAGAGCAUUAGCCGUGCCCCUGCAAUCCUGUAAUUUCUCCGCGCGCUCCGGGUGUGUUGUAGGAGGUGAAGCGAUGCGGGCUCGGCUCUGAGUCAGACUCUCAGAAGCCCGGGUGGGGACACAGGGGGCGGCAGAGGCCGCGGAGAAGGGACUCCUGCCGUAGGAGGCGCCGGCGCCUUUCCCUAGCACGAAGUCACCCGUCCUGGGGCAGCUCGCGGGGCGCCCACUUCCGCGGACACAGGAGGGCGGGGCCAGGAGGGGCGUGGCCUGCUCCUCCUCCCGCCUCCAGGGGGCGCUCCUCGGUCCAGCGGAUCUUCUCGGGGGGCAUCGAGUCUAGUUCCCGGGCACGCAGGCAUGUGGCCUGCUCUCUGCGCGCAGGUGGACUGAAAGAGAUGCAGAUGCAGUGCACGAGGCAGAGGCGCCCCGAGUCCCGUCAGACAUGGGCAACAGACGUAGGACAGCAAGAGAAAAAAAAGCAGAGACAUCUGAAGGGAGUGGGGGCGCUUGUUUCACCCAAGCCCUGGAAUCAAUUCUCGGGGAGCAGGGAGGAGCCAGUGGGGGACUGAGGCUGGGAGGGGAGUUUAUUUAUUAGCCAGAUUAGCUAGCAUUAAUGGGGGAGCCGUGGUGGCCGGCGGCGGCGGGGACAUAGCUGGCAUAACUGGCAUAGCGGCGGGGCCUCCCGCGGCGCGGGGCUCUGGCGGCUUCAAAGGGGCUUAGGGAGGCCCGUGGUGGCACUGCCACGGCCCCGCGGGGGAGGGCGUGGGCGCUGGCGGCGGGGGAGAAGGCGGCCAUUGUGCACCGAGGGAUUAGGGAUCUGGCUUGGAAGGAAUUUUAAACUGCUGCAAGCCGGCGCCCCAGGACUCCCCCUCCCUCCUCACAGCUGCUUUCCAGAGCACGCUGAGGUGUUUACCUGCAUUUCCGUGUAUGGGAGUCCCCCCUCCUCCCUCAAAUUGGAGGCAUCUAGGGCUCUCAGAUUUGGCAAAUAAAAAUACGGGACGUCCAGUUAAAUUUGAAGUUCAAAUAAACAACGAAUCAUAUUUCAGUACAAGUAUAUCCCCUACAACAUGUGGGGCAUACUUAUACUAAAAAAAUUAUUCGUUGUUAGUUUAAAUUUACCUGGGCAUCUUGUAUUUUUUUCUAGCAGCCCUACAGUCACCAAAAUGUCUAACCUGUGUUUGCAACAGAUUGGGGGCUCCGGAAAAAUUCGCUGGGGUUGUGUGUCCCUACCCGCAGACUACGACGUUUCCUACAGCCAGCUGGUAUGUUUCACCCUUCGGAAUGGAUCUCUGAUGGUAGUACGUCUCCAUCAGACUAGGAGCCUCCUGAGGACAGGGGCUGCUUUAGAGGCUGGAGCUCAGAGCUCAAUGUCGGUGUCUCCUUCGUCACACUGGGGGUUCCCUGAGGCAGGGUCUGUUUACUUCCAGGAGGGCAAGUCUGUCUCCCUUCCUCCCCGCAGGCAGGUAGAGGCCCCUCCCCCAUUCGUGUAGCUUCCUGCCCACAGGGGGCGCUAGGGGCCCAGAGAACUGACAGGCGGAUGGAUCCUGUUUCUUGGGACUCAGGGCUGCUGGUUCUCUGGUGUUGAUGCACCUGGGGAUGGAGGGGCCGGGGGUGGUCCCCAUCUCGCGUGGCUGUUGACCUGGUCCUGGCCCUUGCUCUGGCAGUCGAGGCCAGGCCUGUCUGGCCAGAGGCUGUGGCCAGCAUGUGGGAGAAGCUCCAAGUGUGGUUACCCACAGUUUCUGCCAGGAAGGGACAGUGUGGCCCUUGGCGCAGAACGGCGCUGCGCAUCUCCUCUCUCCUCAUUACCAUGGCCACCAAGCCCUAUCCUCCAUCACCCUCACUAGACCCCACUGCCCGGCCUUUGCUUGUGCUGUUCUCUCCACCUGCUGCACCUGCUCUUCCUGUCUGUGAGGACAGCUGAAGUGCCACUGCUUCUCCUGGAGCUCUGGUCUUCAGCAGGGGAGAGAGAGAUUUGUAGACACAGCGACUCGGAGACACACAGGGAAGAUGGACACAUGAUGAUGGAGGCAGAGAUUGGAGUGAUGCAGCUGUAAGCCAAGGAACACCGGGGAUUGCUGGCAAACGCCAGGAGCUAGGAGAGAGGCAUGCAACAGACUCCCUCAGAGCCUCCAGAAGGAACCAAACCUGCUGACACGUUGAUUUUGGACUCUGGCCUCCUUAACUACGAGAGAGUAAAUUUCUGUUGGUUUAAGCCACCAAGUCUGUGGUAAUUUGUUAUGGCAGCUCUAGGAAACGAAUACAGUCACACACACACACGUGCACACACACACACGCACACACACACAUGCUGCUGGCUCUAGGCUCAGUGACGAGGUUGGUGGAGUUCCUCUUGGGAGCUGCUCUGCCUCUGUCCUCCUUCCCCUGUGGCUGGUCCCAUGAACCCAAAAAAGCUCAUGGCCCAGGGCAGGAGCAUGAUAAUUUUCAAUCCCUCCUUCCCUCCCUGGAGUUGUUAACUAAGCAUCCCCCUCAAAAUCUGCUCUCAGGAUGGGUUGCCAUGUUUACGUGCACUGAAAGACAUGUCCAAGAAUGCUAUGGCUGCUUUACUGCUAUUAAUUAAAAACUGGAAACAACCCAAAUGUCUAUCAACAGCAGAAUAGAUAAUAAAUUGUGGCAUAGCCACGCAAUGGAAGGCUGCUCAGACAGGAAAAAGGAAGACGUAAUGCUGCAGGAAUAGCAUGGAUGACCCUCACAGACCCCACACUGACCACACUGGGCCCCAUACAAAGAAUGUAUGCUCUGGAGUCCGUGUGCGUGAGGUUCAAGAACAAAGCCAACCCGUGGUGAUAAAAGUCAGAAUAGUGGUUACUUCUGAGAGAUGGG